rnacentral:rRNA from 1 species
GCCAGACUCCUACGGGAGGCAGCAGUGGGGGAUAUUGCACAAUGGGGGGAACCCUGAUGCAGCGACGCCGCGUGGGUGAAGGAGCGUUUCGGCGCGUAAAGCCCUCUCGGCAGGGAAGAAGGAGGACGGUACCUGACUAAGAAGCCCCGGCUAACUACGUGCCAGCAGCCGCGGUAAUACGUAGGGGGCAAGCGUUAUCCGGAGUUACUGGGUGUAAAGGGGGCGCAGACGGCAGCGCAAGCCAGGAGUGAAAGCCCGGGGCCCAACCCCGGGACUGCUCUUGGAACUGCGCGGCUGGAGUGCAGGAGGGGCAGGCGGAAUUCCUGGUGUAGCGGUGAAAUGCGUAGAUAUCAGGAGGAACACCGGUGGCGAAGGCGGCCUGCUGGACUGCGACUGACGUUGAGGCCCGAAAGCGUGGGGAGCAAACAGGAUUAGAUACCCCAGUAUCA